UUGCAUAAUCCAAAAAGCGGAGGAAAAGAAACCAACAGGGAUUGCCUUAGUAACGGCGAGUGAAGCGGCAAAAGCUCAAAUUUGAAAUCUGGCACCUUCGGUGUCCGAGUUGUAAUUUGAAGAAGGUAACUUUGGAGUUGGCUCUUGUCUAUGUUCCUUGGAACAGGACGUCACAGAGGGUGAGAAUCCCGUGCGAUGAGAUGCCCAAUUCUAUGUAAAGUGCUUUCGAAGAGUCGAGUUGUUUGGGAAUGCAGCUCUAAGUGGGUGGUAAAUUCCAUCUAAAGCUAAAUAUUGGCGAGAGACCGAUAGCGAACAAGUACAGUGAUGGAAAGAUGAAAAGAACUUUGAAAAGAGAGUGAAAAAGUACGUGAAAUUGUUGAAAGGGAAGGGCUUGAGAUCAGACUUGGUAUUUUGCGAUCCUUUCCUUCUUGGUUGGGUUCCUCGCAGCUUACUGGGCCAGCAUCGGUUUGGAUGGUAGGAUAAUGACUAAGGAAUGUGGCUCUACUUCGGUGGAGUGUUAUAGCCUUGGUUGAUACUGCC
rnacentral:rRNA from 1 species